GUAUGAUGGAGGUGGUUUCUCACUUGAAGUUUCCUCAUCCCAGAUGACCCUGGCUCCUGUCAAGUUGACAGAAACCUAACCAGCCCAAGUGGUCAGGGAGCUAAGAGGAAAUGGGGUGAAGGCCAGAGCAUGGUGGAGCAUGAGCAUCAACUCCGUCUCUUUCUCCACUGUGCCUGGGACCCUUUUUUCUUGGGCUGCAACAUGUGGCCCUAGACCCUUCCUCACACUAAAGGUGUCCAUGAAGAGUCGUUCACCUAAGGCCAGCUGAGUCUUCUAGUGUGGUGUGAAGGUCCCCAGGAAGCUUCCAGGCCUUCUGUGCCAGAUGAUGACCACCGAGACAUCCAACCUCUCCAGUGUGCUGGGAGCCACAGUGGAAUGACUCAGCCCACACUGUGUCAUUUAGGGAGAAGACAUUGGUCUGAUUCUCUAAGUAAAAGAAGACGAAAACUUAAUCAAAUGCUCAGAUGAAAUCCAGUCUCUAAAACGAUGCGUAGAGUUUGAAGAGGACAAAUCUGCAUGGAUCUGAGAACUGGACUUGAGGCUGAGCGGUACCAGUGUGGGCCCCCUGGACUCAUAUCAAGCUGCGUGUCUCACAGUAAACCUUUUAGUAUGACUGUCCCAUUAUGUCAAGCUUUCCUCCCAAAGUCUAUAUUGGGAAAGGAUUUCACCUUUAAAGCAACACAUAGCAUGGGAGAUGUUUUGUUAGAAAGUUGUUCUUCAUUUUGUCUAUUCCUCCACCCUAUUCCGAGUUUGAAAUCCCGGGACAAUGCAGUUCUGAUUGCCCUGCCCAGGACAGCGAAUUCACAGCUAAUUAUAACCCAGACUCACAGGACAUUUGAACGAAAAGGCCAGUGCUAGUCUUUGUGGUUUUAAGAACGGCUUGGUAUUUCUUUAAAAAAAUACAGCUUUCAGGGUGGCUCAGACCUGCCAGCUCUCAGGAUCCUUGCUGAUUACGCCGGGAGAAAGGCCACACAGAGAGCGAGGUUCUGAGUUGAUUUCUUUCCUUAUAAUUACUCUUACACAUGGAGCCUCUUCAGUGUCACCAUGACACCAGCGGCAUCUUCUCACCCAUUGGGUCUGAUGUGGAGCCUGACAGACAGCUAGGACACGGUGCCCUGACUCUACGGACUCAGGUUUCAGUGUUGCUGUUCCUCAAACCUGCGUAGGGACCUGGAGGAGCCCUGUGUCACAGCAACUUCAGAUCGCUGUUCCUGGAUCUACCCCUCCCCAUCCACCCAAAGAGACUAAUUUGUGACACCAAACUAUUGUUGAUGGAAUUAAAAAAGCCACAAGUGAGGAAGAAUUGAAGCCUUUGGGGUCAAGGACAACCACAUGAAAGUCACAGAACCAACUAAUCUGGGCUCAUCCAGGCUCACAGAGACUGAACUGACAACCAGGGAGCCUGCAUGGGACUGACCUAGGCCCUCUGCGUAUAUAUUACAAUUGUGUAACUUGGUCUUCUUGUGACCUAACAGUGGGAACAAGGGCUGCUCUGACUCUAUUUCCUGCUUCUGGGAGUCUCUUUUCAGAAGAGAAACAGAGGAGGAGGAAGGAGGGAAGGAGGGGAAAUCUUGGUCAGGACAUAAAAACGAACAAAAAAUAAGUAAACAAACAAACAAACAAAAAGUUUUUUUAAAAAAAUUCCCUCCCUGAUUUCUUCAGUAUCCAUUUGUCACUUAGGAGUGCGCUGCUCAGUCUCUGUAUUUGUGUAUUUCUCUUGCUAUUGCUCUUGAGUUUUGUUCCACAAUGAUCUGGUAAGACAACAAUUAUUUGUGAGUGGAAGGGGAGUGGGGAAAAAUGUAUAGCACUUUCCUAUCCAAACAAUUAGAAUGAGAAGGAUUUAAUUUAAAAGAAAAAAAAAAGAAGAAGAACUUCAGAUAAGGCUUGA